rnacentral:rRNA from 1 species
AACGAACGCUGGCGGCGCGCCUAAUACACGCAAGUCGAGCGAGAAGACGUAGCAAUACGUUUGUAAAGCGGCGAACGGGUGAGGAAUACAUGGGUAACCUACCCUCGAGUGGGGAAUAACUAGCCGAAAGGUUAGCUAAUACCGCGUACGCUCCUUGGACUUCGGUUCAGGGAGGAAAGCGAUACCGUGGGUAUCGCGCUCUUGGAUGGGCUCAUGUCCUAUCAGCUUGUUGGUGAGGAACGGCUCACCAAGGCUUCGACGGGUAGCUGGUCUGAGAGGACAAUCAGCCACACUGGCACUGCGACACGGGCCAGACUCCUACGGGAGGCAGCAGUAAGGAAUAUUGCGCAAUGGGCGAAAGCCUGACGCAGCGACGCCGCGUGGGGGAGU